UUGCCUUGCUGUUGUAAAUUGGGUUCACAUGAGAGGCUGGUGGUGGGACUCAUUUCAGUUACAAUCAGCAACAGCAGUAGUCUUCUGUUCAACUCUCUCUUUACUUACUCUCUCUAACUCUCUCCAUCCCUCCUUCCCCUAUCUUGCUCUCUCUCUCUCCCAUCUCCCUGCAUACUAUAGCUCUCUUUUUUACUCCUUCUUCUGUAUUCUCUCUCCUCUUUGCUCGCCUGUUGAGAUUAUUCACUCAUAACUCAGAGGACCCAACAUCCUAGCUGAGUUCAGACUGGAGCCAUGGCUCCAGAAAAGGAAAGCAAUGGUCUCGAAAACUACGCAUUUGCUAUUGAUGGGCGUUUCUGUGAUCUGGAGAAGGAUGGAGAGGGCUCCGACCUCUCUGAGGAGGACGACAAGAACAAACUGGCCUACUGUGUCACAGACAUCCCACCCUGGUACCUUUGCAUCAUUCUGGGCAUCCAGCAUUGCCUGACAGCAUUUGGAGGGAUCAUCGCCAUCC